rnacentral:lncRNA from 1 species
UUUUUUUUGCCUGACAGACGAUUAAACAGCGCACGGCACCUCCUCUGUAUAUAUAGAAUAUUUAAAAGAGAGAGCAUGCAUCUAUGCGACGUGGUGUACACGAACUAGAAAUCUGGCUAGCUUUUGUACGUGCAUAUCUAGCCCUCUUUUCGUGAUUAUUUCUCUUAGAUCGAAGUAUAAAAUUUCAAUCUAUUUGCACCACUGUAUUCUUCAUGAUGAACUCUACAAAUAGAGUCUAAUAUUAAUUAUAUUUUUUCUUUCAUAAAUUUCUAGCAAUACGUGCGACCCAUACGUCGUAGAGUAGCUAAUUGUUAAAUCAAUGCAUGUGUCAACACGGGUGACACGCAACUGCGGAAACACCGAAAUCACCAGUUGGUGGUGGCUCGUCGUGCGUGCAGCAGCUGCAGCACCUGCCGCCAGCGGGCGUGGCGGCAGCAACAUGUGGCCCGAGCUGCCGCCUCAAGCAGUGGCAGCAGGGCCCACCUCCUGUCUCCCGUUCCGUUCCAGCUCCCACUCAACCGAAAAUCUGUUACACGGCGUCUGCCGCCUGCCGCCGUGGCUGCAGGGCUGGCCGCCUCCGCACAUGGCGGCAGGUGCCACGUGUCGGCUGGCGCGCCUGCCGCCACGGUCGAGGGGGUCUUUUUGGUCAAUUUUAUCUAGAGGGGGUCUUUUCUGGCAAUAUCGUUGGGCAGGUGGUCUUUUUCGACGAAAAAUCUUCCCGGUGCGGCUUGCCGGCGAGAGGCGGGGGAGAUUAUGCGGCAGCUAGGGUUUCGCCGUGGUCGCCCGCGGGGUGGGGCUACACGAGCGACCGAGAAAAGAGACCAGGUUUUCGUAUUUUGUAAAAUAAUCUUUUGAUUUUCAAUCGGAUGGCUAAGAUAGAAGGGUAUGUUACUAUUGUUCAACAGUAACAUGCCUAUGACACGACACUGGAUCGAGCAUGCAACAUGAGCACACAUAUAUUGAUACUCCCUCCGGGUUUCCGUCUUUUGAAAAAUAACCUUUUGAUUUUCAAUCAGAUGGCUAAGAGAGAAGGGUAUGUUACGUACUAUUGUUCAACAGUGACAUGCCUAUGACACGACACUGGAUCGAGCAUGCAACAUGAGCACACAUAUUGAUACUCCUUCCGUUCUAAAUAUUUGUCUUUCUAAAGAUCUGAACAAAUUCUAAAGAUUUGAACAAAUGACUACAUCCGGUGCAAAUGAGUGAUUCUACACUCUAAAAUAUGUCUAUAUAAAUUCGUGUGUGAUAGUUUAUUUGAAAUUUUUAAAAAGACAAACAUUUAGGAAGGUAGUAGACUAAUGCAUACAACACGAGAACAGCGCACAUAGCCAUCGCUAGCACAUAACACAAUGCAUGCAUCUCGCAGGUCUUGCUCAGCUGACGAACUAGAUAGAUGGGGUGUGUUGUGCUUGUGCUCGUGUUCGGUGUGAGAGCGGCCAAGGGCACGGGUGGGGUUAUAAAGACGGAGGUGCACGCUGCGAACGAAGGAUUUUGGAUCGGAAUCAGCCGAAGAUCCAGUGACUCCAUUUACACGGUUAAUAGCCUGCAACGCACAGCCAGUCUGCUGGUUGACGUGACAAUACGACAUUGGCUGCACAUAGCCACGAGCUGCCUAGUUGUGACUCCGUUUACCCGGUGAAUAGCCUGCAUCACACAGCUGCCUAGGUGUGACUCCGAUUACCCGGUAAAUAGCCUGCAUGACACAGCCAGCUGGUUGACGUGACAAUACAACGUGGCGGCACGUAUCCGCGAUGUGCCUAGUUGAUUUGAUGGUACGGUACCAGCUUUAGUAGAUGCACUCUAGAGUGUUCAAACGACCAAAACACCUCUGCCCUAGGGUUCCUGCAGACUGCCGUAAUGGCUAUUGGUGAGAUAGUAUUCUCUUGCAUUAUUCUAGUAGCAAGCGCAGCUCAACGAUAAAAGGAUAAAACCCAAAAAUAGUUAGUGCGUGUUGAUAGGCGAUCAUCUUCUAUUCGGGAUCUUUAUUUGAAGCAGAACAGAGAUCAGAUAAUUUCUGAGGUGUUGAGUGGAUCAGGCAGCCAGUACAUGAAUAAGAAGACAAGGAAAGCAACACCAUGGAGUUAAGAUACAUGCAUGCACACUUACACAUAGCGGUUACUACUUUACAUUACAGAGAGUAGCUUCAGACUGUUGACACGCUAGUAACAUGGUCGAACAUACACGCACCGCCCAGGUACAGAAGAUGAUAUUGAACUUGGUUGACACUAGCUUAGCUUGGGCAAUACAUACGUGCCCAGGUGCAAAAGGUACAGUCCCUACUCCUGAACUUCAUUGACACUAGCUUAGCUUGGGCAAUACAUACGUGCCCAGGUACCAAAGAUCAGUCCCUACCCCUAACUCCAUACUAACUACCUAGCGUACUGCCACUAACUUGGCAUCAACCUAGUGUGCAUUUCUUCUCUAGGCAGCAAAGGCGGCCGCAGCCGCCGCAGCGCCUGCGUUGUGGAGGAGCUGGAAGUACAUCUGCGGGUUGGCCGCAAAUGCGGCGCGGGAGAUGAGGAAGCCGGCCGCGCCGGGCGCCUUCAUCAUCCCACCGGCAACGACAGCCGCCGGCCAGAAGAAAUAGGCGCCCACAGCGCCCAGGCCGACGAUCACCGCAGCCGCGACGACGUUGAACACCAUCUCUGAAGUCUGAACCGACGUUCUCUACCUGAAUCUGUGUUAGAUCUUUUUCCCUGUAUGUUCUAUGCAGAGGCGAGAUUGCUAGAUGAAGCGGACGUAAGAGCUAGCAGCGAGAAGGGUGACUUAUAUAGGGCUGGACGCUGGAGUGCCCGCGAGCGCUCGCCGCUUCCAGCCGCAUCGAGCGAUCUGUUCACCGGGGACGCGUGGACAAUGGCCGGAGACAAGGGUCGAUGGAGGGGAGACGCGUGCCGGCCAGGCGGCCACGUAGCCGGGUAGUACAUUUUUCGGCCGGUAAUCCUGGCAAUCGAUUGUUGGGUAUAGCAUUCCCCUUUUUUUCAAAUUAG